UUAUUCUCUUUAUUAUUAGUUCCAGUUCUUCUCUGACUGUGGUUUAUUCACUAAAGCAGCUGCACCAUGGAAGUGUGUGCACACAGGGAAACGUGGAGUGUAGACAGGGUCAGUGCCCUGCUGUAUUUGGUCUCCACAGGGGUCUCUUCCCAUGGAGAAGGGGUCCACUGUGCUGAGACAAGGACCUAGGUCCACGCGGACAAUUUCAAGAUUAUGGAAUGAAGAUCCAUGUAAAACACAAGCACAGGGGCUGCGGAGAUGGCUCAGAGGUCAAGCACACCGCCUGUUCCUCCAGAGGACCUGGAGCACCCACAUGGCAGUUUACAACUGUCUGUAACCCCAGUUCCAGGGGAUCUGAUACCUUCACACCAAUUCACAUAAAAAAAAAAAAAUCACAAGCACCUAGAGCCACAGAUGAUCAUCUGGGAAGAAACACUAGGAGUCUGAGUGUAAGCACAGGCUGUGAAGACACGAUCCUGAGUGAAGAGGCAAAGUCUCUGUUUACAGAAGAGACGUUUCUUCUAGAAGAUCCAGGGUCUGACUAUUGACGAGAAGAAGAAAGCAGAAGGUGGAGGAGAGAAUGAAAUCAGUCUGACCUGCAGGUCUCUCCUAGGUUUUGGUUUGUUUCUGUUUAUUUAAGACAAGUUCUGUCUCCACAGCUCUGGUUGUCCUUGAUCUGACAGAACCCCCGCUGCCUUUGCAUCCCUCGUCCUGGGAUUAGAGGCUGUGUCACGACACUUGGCUUUAGUUAGUUUUCUAUGGCUGUGAAAAGACACUGUGACUCCAGAAACUUAUAAAAGGAUUUGUUUCAUUUGAGUUUAAGUUUUCAGAUGGGUUUGAGUCCAUGAUGGCAGAAGAAGGGGUGCUGGCAGGAACAGCCGAGAGCUCACAUCUUUAACCACAGGCAAGUGUCAGAGACACUGGGAAUAGUGGCAGUCUUUAAAACCUCCAUGUCCAACCCCAGAGACACACUUCCUCCAACAGGGCCAUACUUCCUGAUCCUUUCCAAACAGUUCCAUCAGCUGGAGCUGAAGUA